CGCGACUCACGUUUCUAAGGCACCGCGUGAAGCAGAAGAAUGACGCACGUCGAAAGGAAUGCCGGGAAAACUACUGUAUGUGUGAAUGAGUCCCAUUAGCCUCGUCUAACCGCUACUCGAGCACAAUUUUCUGUUUACAUUAAGAAACAUAAUUACAGAAAUGGCGGGAAGCGCUGGGGAAUGGUGUCUUAUGGAAAGCGACCCUGGAGUUUUCACAGAGCUGAUAAAGGGCUUUGGAUGCAAAGGUGCACAGGUAGAAGAGAUAUGGAGCAUGGAGCCAGAAAACUUUGAAAAUCUCAAGCCCGUUCAUGGUCUGAUUUUCCU